CAUUCGAGAAGAGUUUACAUAUUACUUGAAUGAAGAGGAUAACAUAAUACUGAGCUGAAAAUUGUGUGUAAAGUAUGUUUUAGCAGUUUACAAUACAGACUGUAAAUGUGCGGGAGAUUUUAUUGAUAUUGAAGCUUGUAAACAAAACCAAUACACGUAGGACUUAUUCACGGCAAUGUAUGGGAACCAGUCUAAAAGGCAAAGAAAAUUCCGCCAAGUAAACAACAAAGAAAGGGAUUUGGGAUGUUGUCAGUUGUAUGUUUACAUAAUGUGCGAUGGUGACUGCAAGAAUAAAGGAAUGUGGAGCUAAUGCAUGCUGCUAAGGAUGGAAAGGUCUUGUGUUUAUUGGUUGUGCCUGAGUCACCAGUCACAGGUGUACCUUAUUUCCAUUUUAGGGAGUCUAUAUACAUUUGAGGUGAGCGGCAGAUUUAAUUUUGAAGAUGGGUGACUUUCAGAUGUUGUGAUGAAGAUUGCUGAAAGGAAUUAUCAGCAUAGAACCAAUCCAUAUAAAUGUGCAAGUCAGGACUUGUACAACACCUGAGUACCUAGAUGAUUGUUGAACUAAUUGGUGAACAAGAAAAGAUGUCAGAGAGGGGAAUCCAAUACAGAUGUCAUGAUCAAGAAUAUAUACUCUUAUCAAUGAUAUGAUCAAGAAUAUGUAAACUUGUAACGAUUUAAAAUAUGUUAUCUGUAAAUCACUCUUCAUUACUUAAUUGUUCACACAUUAUCAUCUACACUAAUGCUAUAAAUCUUAUCUGUAUAUUAAUCGCCCCCUCUUAUCUAACCCCCUGCUGAUCGUAAUGACCUGUGUAUUGACUCCUGAUCUUAAGGAUCUUGUAAUGUGCUCCUGAUCCUCAGGAACGGAUUUUGAGUAUAUAUAUAGUGCGACAGAAUAUUAGAAUAAGAUAGGAAGAUGGAAAUAUAGAAGACUUAGUAGAUAGAACUGUUAGAGAUAGAUAAAGUUACUCACUUACUUGGACUAUUACCUAAUAUUUCUUGGACUUAUAUGUACAUGUGAUUGUUUUACUUGGAUUUUAUUUUUUGUGAAUUAUUUUUCCUGAAUGUUUCUAUUUGUGAUGUGCUGUGUAAGUAAACUGUAGACUAGAAUUUCGGCAUCUAUUUUCAAGAUAUGAAAAACAAGGAUAAAUUAAUUUAUUCAUGCAAACUGACAUUAUGAAAUGUGUUGUAAGACUGCUCGGUGCGGCGCUACAAACUAACUAGGAAAUAUCUUGGAGAUUUAUAGAUGAACAUGCAAGCAUUCAUGAUUUUGAAUGUUAUUCAGCCAGAGAGUUUUUGCACAAAUUUAAUUUUCAGUACAGUAAUUUAAACUGGAUGUUUAAUU